AGCUUUGCGCAGUGGCAGUAUCGUAGCCAAUGAGGUUUAUCCGAGGCGCGAUUAUUGCUAAUUGAUUAUUGCUAAUUGAAAUAACAGGAGUCAGAUGGGGUCUCUGUAAGGAAUCUCUACAAGUGUAGCCCACUCCAAACAAAACUAAUACCUAUAUAUAUAUAUGGAAAUUUAAGUAGAUCUUCAUUUAAAUGA
rnacentral:snRNA from 13 species